CCUACGGGUGGCAGCAGUGAGGAAUAUUGGUCAAUGGGCGCGAGCCUGAACCAGCCAAGUAGCGUGAAGGAUGACUGCCCUACGGGUUGUAAACUUCUUUUAUAAAGGAAUUAAGUGAGGCACGUGUGCCUUUUUGUAUGUCCUUUAUGAAUAAGGAUCGGCUAAGUACGGGCCAGCAGCCGCGGUAAUACGGAGGAUCCGAGCGUUAUCCGGAUUUAUUGGUGUUAAAGGGAGCGUAGAUGGGUUGUUAAGUCAGUUGUGAAAGUUUGCGGCUCAACCGUAGAAUUGCAAUUGAUACUGGCAGCCUUGAGUACAGUUGAGGUAGGCGGAAUUCGUGGUGUAGCGGUGAAAUGCGUAGAUAUCACGAAGAACUCCGAUUGCGAAGGCAGCUUACUAAACUGCCACUGACAUUGAUGCUCGAAAGUGUGGGUAUCAAACAGGAUUAGAUACCCGGGUAGUC
rnacentral:rRNA from 1 species